rnacentral:rRNA from 1 species
UACAGAGGAUGCAAGCGUUAUCCGGAAUGAUUGGGCGUAAAGGGCGCGUAGGCGGCCCGCUAAGUCGAACGUGAAAUCCCCGAGCUCAACUCGGGAACUGCGUCCGAUACUGGUGGGCUUGAAUCCGGGAGAGGGAUGCGGAAUUCCAGGUGUAGCGGUGAAAUGCGUAGAUAUCUGGAGGAACACCGGUGGCGAAGGCGGCAUCCUGGACCGGCAUUGACGCUGAGGCGCGAAAGCUAGGGGAGCAAACGGG